UACAGAGGGUGCAAGCGUUGUUCGGAAUUAUUGGGCGUAAAGCGCGUGUAGGCGGCUUUGCAAGUCGGGUGUGAAAUCCCUCAGCUCAACUGAGGAAGUGCGCCCGAAACUGCAGAGCUUGAAUAUCGGAGAGGAUGGCGGAAUUCCUGGUGUAGCGGUGAAAUGCGUAGAUAUCAGGAGGAACACCUGUGGCGAAAGCGGCUCACUGGACCAUAACUGACGCUGAUGCACGAAAGCUAGGGGAGCAAACAGG
rnacentral:rRNA from 1 species